GUAGGGGCUGCCUGAGGAUGGUUCCUGUGGACUAAGAAGGUGAUGGAGUGGGAGACUUUUUUCUGGGCUUACUAUGAGAUUACUUUUCCAGAUGUGACGUUCUGUGAAGGGAGAGGAGCCGAGCUUGAUCCUUCCAUAGACCUUCCUCUUGUUCUCUUCACUCAGCACCAGGUAUUCGCUAGGACCCAGAUCCAAAGGCAGACUAACCCUUUGUUCUUUUCUUUCUUCUUUGUUAGUUAAGCCAACCAGAAUUUUAAUUGCAAACUCCAUGAUAUAGUUUAAUACAUAUUUUGCUGUUAUAUAAAUAAUAUUAAAUUCUAAAUUCUGACCAAGACUUGUGAUAGCUUCUAAAGUGAGGAAUUAAUCAGUAAGAUUUAAUAAGGGCUUAAAAUGCUGCCAACAUUGUAAAGAAUUGUGGGGUUCCCUAGAUAUAUUCAUAUUAUAACUAGAAAAAUAAAAAUAUCUAAAAGAAAGAACAAAUAAGGUGCUAAAUCUUGCUCUCUUGUGUAAGUGAGUACAGUCCCAGUAUAGAGGAUGGUGUAUGUGUCCUAAUUAUAGGCAGUGGUUGGGAAAAGAAUCGUGGGUCCAUCCUAAUCCUGGCACUGGGUAUUUUGGCUGCCCUUUGCAGGAUUUGCGAAUUUCAGGUGGGCAGAAAGGGUUAGUGACGUGCUAGAUGCGAAUAGGAGACAUCAUGAGCAAAGGCAUUGGACAGGAAUCAGGCUGGGGUAGGGAGAGGGAGGGUUAUGGUAGCUUUGGGAUAUGGACACUGAGAAGACUCCGUAAGAGGUGGAAGCUGUAUUAAGGUAGGCAGUGGUGGUGGAGAGAGAACUUUAAAUCUCAGGCAGAGGAGUUGAAGUUAGAGGGGGAGAUAGUUAGAAGUCUUCAGGCUUUUCUUCUUCUAGCCUUUAGAUGUUAUUGAUUGUUGAUUUGAUGCUUAGAGCCUUUGCAUCUUAUAACCCUGUGAGCACUGUGUCUCCCUCUCUGCGCCCCCCCACUCUUGCUCUGUCUCUCAAAAAUAAACAUAAAAAAUUAGUUAUGAUUAACAGGCAACAGAAAUCCCCUUCUCAUGUGGCUUAAACAAUAAGGAAUUUAUUGUUUUCAAUUCAGAGAUUUGCAUUUUCUUCAUAAUUGAAUAUUUCUGAAAUUGAGACAUUUUGAACAUUUACUUAAGUGAAUAGAAUGUUGGUUUAGUUGACAGCAUCCCCUGCUUGAUGAUUCAUAAAAUAAUGAUGCAUCCAAACUGCUGACAUUUUUUUAAAUGUUUAUUUAUUUUUGCAAGAGAGAGAGAGAGAGAGAGAGCACGUGAGCAGGGAGGGGCAGAGAGAGAAGGAGACCCAGAAUUCGAAGCAGGCUCCAGGCUCUGAGCUGUCAGCACAGAGCCCAAUGCAGGGCUCGAACUCACGAACCGCGAGAUCAUGACCCAAGCUGAAGUCGGCCGCUUAACCGACUGAGCCACCCAGUUGCCCCUGAAAUGUCUUAGUUGAGGCAACAUGAUGUUAUCUCAGAUAUCGGGACAUCUGAUGGAUAGAGUGGAUCCAUGAUUGGUUAUUUUUUUGCCUUGAUUAUAUCAGCGACUGAGUGUGGCAGAUAAGUUUUUGGCUUGCUCUCUU
rnacentral:lncRNA from 1 species